AUUGAACGCUGGCGGCAGGCUUAACACAUGCAAGUCGAGCGGGAAUAGGUAGCUUGCUACUGAAUUCUAGCGGGGGACGGGUGAGUAAAGCUUAGGAAUCUGCCAUUUAGUGGGGGACAACAUUCCGAAAGGGAUGCUAAUACCGCAUACGUCCUACGGGAGAAAGUAGGGGAUCACGUUUGACCUUGCGCUAAAUGAUGAGCCGACGUCGGAUUAGCUAGUUGGUGGGGUAAAGGCCGACCAAGGCGACGAUCUGUAGCGGGUCUGAGAGGAUGAUCCGCCACACUGGGACUGAGACACGGCCCAGACUCCUACGGGAGGCAGCAGUGGGGAAUAUUGGACAAUGGGGGGAACCCUGAUCCAGCCAUGCCGCGUGUGUGAAGAAGGCCUUUUGGUUGUAAAGCACUUUAAGCGAGGAGGAGGCUACUUAGAUUAAUACUCUAGGAUAGUGGACGUUACUCGCAGAAUAAGCACCGGCUAACUCUGUGCCAGCAGCCGCGGUAAGAC
rnacentral:rRNA from 1 species